AUGUGUGUGUGUGUGUGUGUGUGUGUGUGCGCACAUAUAUAUAUAUAUAUAUAUAUAUGCGCGCACACACACACACACACACACAC
rnacentral:miRNA from 1 species